UUGUUGACAUGCUUUGCAUGGCAGGCUCCCUGCACUUUGGUGCGGCCAACUGUCAUGGGGCUGUCUUUUCACUGUCCCUUCGGCUAGUAUUUUUGCUGGUUACGGAUGAUUGCUAACGGUUGCCUGUGCGGUUCUACCCUUGUUGGUAGCACGAUUGUCCCAUCUUUGCUUAUUUAGCUUGUUCUGUUGGCUACUCAGUUGACAGGGCGGCCGAGGGGUCAGCAAAUUCCAUGUGUUGCCAUGUGCAUUAAGCCUUGGUACUGCACUUGGAUGUUUGCUGGGUCUCAUGGAUGUGGUGCCUAGUGUGAGCUCUACGGCCUUUGUGCCUGUAGAACCUGUGAGGUUGCCCUGCAUAGAUCAUUUCUCUGUUGCUUCGCCGACAUGUUGUGGUUUAAGCGUCAUGUUGGAGUGUUGCUAUCAGGGUGUUGUUCUUUGUGUGUGGCAUGCCUCUUAAGACCGAAUGACUUGCGAUUGCCGGUUUGCGUUGUCAUAAGG
rnacentral:misc_RNA from 1 species